GACGAACGCUGGCGGUGUGCUUAACACAUGCAAGUCGAACGGUAAGGCCCUUUCGGGGGUCCACGAGUGGCGAACGGGUGAGUAACACGUGAGUAACCUGCCUUCAUCUCUGGGAUAACAGUCGGAAACGGUUGCUAAUACUGGCUAUGAGCUUGCAAGGCAUCUUGUGGGUUGGAAAGAUUUUUUUUGGUUGGGGAUGGACUCGCGGCCUAUCAGCUUGUUGGUGAGGUAGUGGCUCACCAAGGCUUCGACGGGUAGCCGGCCUGAGAGGGCGACCGGCCACAUUGGGACUGAGAUACGGCCCAAACUCCUACGGGAGGCAGCAGUGGGGAAUAUUGCACAAUGGACGGAAGUCUGAUGCAGCAACGCCGCGUGCGGGAUGACGGCCUUCGGGUUGUAAACCGCUUUCAAUUGUGACGAAGCUUUUUUGUGACGGUAGCAGUAGAAGAAGCACCGGCUAACUACGUG
rnacentral:rRNA from 1 species